rnacentral:misc_RNA from 1 species
CUGUUUUCCACCCGCAUAUCAAGGUAAUAGUAACAAUUCUGGCUCUUCUUUUCUUUAUUGUAUUAUUUUGAGCAAAUACAGUAUCUUGAUUUUCUUUUUUAUUUUGGGUUAAAAACUCUUUUCACUAGGAUUAUUCUUUUUAUGCGAAACCCCGUUGCUUUUGCUGCAAACUUUAGUAAAAUCUUUAACAUGUUCAGCUGUUUGUUUGAAAUUUUUUUUUUAUCAAAUUUUAUUUCAUUAAUCCAAAGGCAGAAAUUUAACAGGUUGUCAAUAAACUUGGUGAAGGCCUUUGAAUCUUUGUAUUCUUCUUUCUACCUUGAUAUCACAUAAGUUGAUGGCUUGAACGUUUGGUUUAUGCAGUGGUUAAGGUUUAAGCAGAGCCCAUUGACGGGCAUAACAAUGUUUUGUAUUUAGUUUUGCUGUUUCAUUGUAUAAACUGGUGUUCAUAUGUUAGUUUCAUUUUUAGUUUCAUUUUUCUCAAUAGUCUUAUUACAUUGACAAGUUGAGAUGUGUGGUUGUGAACAGGACAUUUACCUUCUGUUCUGGGUUCACAUGCGAAGGCUAAAAGCAAGACUUUCAUUUUUAUUUCUUCUGUUUUCCUCCUAUGAUAAGUAUGAAAGGAGUAUGAUGCUGAUGAGGCAACUAAAAUUGGGAUUUGGGACGCUUCUAACUUUAGUUUUCCUCUCCUGUUUUAUGGAUGGGGAAGUGGAGAGGAGGGUAUUUGCAGUUUUUGUAUUUUGCUCCCUCUUCUAUGGG